GAUGAACGCUGGCGGCGUGCCUAAUACAUGCAAGUCGAGCGAAUGGAUUAAGAGCUUGCUCUUAUGAAGUUAGCGGCGGACGGGUGAGUAACACGUGGGUAACCUGCCCAUAAGACUGGGAUAACUCCGGGAAACCGGGGCUAAUACCGGAUAAUAUUUUGAACUGCAUGGUUCAAAAUUGAAAGGCGACUUCGGCUGUCACUUAUGGAUGGACCCGCGUCGCAUUAGCUAGUUGGUGAGGUAACGGCUCACCAAGGCAACGAUGCGUAGCCGACCUGGGAGGGUGAGCGGCCACACGGGGACUGAGACACGGACCAGACUCCUACGGGAGGCAGCAGUAGGGAAUCUUCCGCAAUGGACGAAAGUCUGACGGAGCAACGCCGCGUGAGUGAUGAAGGCUUUCGGGUCGUAAAACUCUGUUGUUAGGGAAGAACAAGUGCUAGUUGAAUAAGCUGGCACCUUGACGGUACCUAACCAGAAAGCCACGGCUAACUACGUGCCAGCAGCCGCCGCCG
rnacentral:rRNA from 1 species